rnacentral:rRNA from 1 species
CCAGGUCUUGACAUCCCGAUGCUAUUUCUAGAGAUAGAAAGUUACUUCGGUACAUCGGUGACAGGUGGUGCAUGGUUGUCGUCAGCUCGUGUCGUGAGAUGUUGGGUUAAGUCCCGCAGCGAGCGCAACCCCCUAUUGUUUAGUUGCCAUCAUUCAGUUGGGCACUCUAGCGAGACUGCCGGUAAUAAACCGGAGGAAGGUGGGGAUGACGUCAAAUCAUCAUGCCCCUUAUGACCUGGGCUACACACGUGCUACAAUGGUUGGUACAACGAGUUGCGAGUCGGUGACGGCGAGCUAAUCUCUUAAAGCCAAUCUCAGUUCGGAUUGUAGGCUGCAACUCGCCUACAUGAAGUCGGAAUCGCUAGUAAUCGCGGAUCAGCACGCCGCGGUGAAUACGUUCCCGGGCCUU